ensembl:snRNA U6 U6 spliceosomal RNA
GUGCUCGCUUGGGCAGCACAUUACUAAAAUUGGAAUAGUAGAGAGAUUAGCAGGGCCCCUUUUGGUAGGAUGACACCCAAAUUUGUGAAGCAUUCCAUUAAAGA